rnacentral:tRNA from 1 species
GCAUUAGUGGUUCAGUGGUAGACUCCUUGCCUUCCAUGAGGGAGACCCAAGUUCAAUUCCUGGCCAAUGCA